CCUACGGGCGGCUGCAGUGGGGAAUAUUGGGCAAUGGGCGCAAGCCUGACCCAGCAACGCCGCGUGAAGGAAGAAGGCUUUCGGGUUGUAAACUUCUUUUAGCAGGGACGAAGACGUGACGGUACCUGCAGAAUAAGCUCCGGCUAACUACGUGCCAGCAGCCGCGGUAAUACGUAGGGAGCAAGCGUUAUCCGGAUUUACUGGGUGUAAAGGGCGCGUAGGCGGGUCUGCAAGUCAGAUGUGAAAUCUGGGGGCUCAACCCCCAAACUGCAUUUGAAACUGUGGUUCUUGAGUGCUGGAGAGGCAAGUGGAAUUCCUAGUGUAGCGGUGAAAUGCGUAGAUAUUAGGAGGAACACCAGUGGCGAAGGCGACUUGCUGGACAUUAACUGACGCUGAGGCGCGAAAGCGUGGGGAGCAAACAGGCUUAGAUACCCCUGUAGUC
rnacentral:rRNA from 1 species